AGGUGUAUAAUUAAAAUAUAAUACUUAAUUUGCAAUUAAACCUUACCUAUUUAAAGGUUAUGCCUA
rnacentral:tRNA from 1 species